GGCUCUUUGUGGUUAAAGGAUAAUGAGUCGGGCCUGCCCGGUGACCUGAUGGGUUAAACGGCUGCAGUAAAUUGACUGUACAAAGGUAGCGUAGUAAAAUGUUCUUUAAUUGGGGACCUGUAUGAAUGGCUUGACGAGGGUGCGUCUGUCUUUUUGUUGAUGUAUAGAGAAGUUAUGUUCUAGGUGAAAACACCUAGUUUCCAUUAAGGGACGAGAAGACCCUGUUGAGCUUAAGUGGAGUCAGGUAGUGGGUUAAGUGUUUAGUGGCUAUAUCUGCUACUUGGUGAUAUCUUUGGUUGGGGCAACCGAGGGGCAAGAAAAACCCCCUCUUGUUUGGUUGGGCUUGUUGGUUAUAGAUCCAGCUGGUUUGCGUGUCAUGUGUGGUUGUGGUGUGUAGAUUUGUGUGCUGAUUGUUAGGAAAGUUACCACAGGGAUAACAGCGCCAUCUUUUUGGAGAGUUCUUAUUGAUAAAGGGGUUGCGACCUCGAUGUUGGACUAAGAUGUCCUGGAGGUGUAGAGGC
rnacentral:rRNA from 1 species